AGAAGCACUUUGAUAGUGACUGGUUUAAGAAAUUGAAAGCCUACAUAAACCUUUCCUUAAUAUUGUGGAUUGUAGAAGAACAGAGCCUGAAUUCCAGCGCCACAGCUGGUCUGAAUCUCCAUCCAGGCUGACCAGGCUGGAAAGCCCUGCUGUGGAACUGACCCAGCCACACUGCAUGGCUCCAAAGCAUGUGCCAGGAAUAAGCACAGCCAUACUGAAGAGUGAGGGGUUUGGAACACAAAUAAGGCUUGUGAGUUGUUAGACUGAACAUCUGGGACCUUCAGAAUAACUGUAUUGAAGGAUCCAGCAAAAGUCACACAGGCAAACCGGCAUCUGUAUCACAACCAGCGUGUCACCAUCAAUUUUCAUGACAUACUUGAACAGACACACUGAAAAGAUUCUCUGCUGCAGAAUUUGUUUGCUAAUUCAGAGUAUUUUAUAGUAACAGAUAAAGAGGUUCUAUUAGAUUACCCCCAUUCAAAAAAUAUGUACUA